AACGCACAUUGCGCCCUUUGGUAUUCCAAAGGGCAUGCCUGUUCGAGCGUCAUUUGUACCCUCAAGCUUUGCUUGGUGUUGGGCGUUUUGUCUUUGCUCGCCAAAGACUCGCCUUAAAACGAUUGGCAGCCGACCUCUUGGUUUCGCAGCGCAGCACAAUUUUGCGCUUGCAAAUCAGCAAGUUGGCACUCCAUCAAGAACAUUUUUUUACGUUUGACCUCGGAUCAGGUAGGGAUACCCGCUGAACUUAA
rnacentral:misc_RNA from 1 species